GAUUAACGCUGGCGGCGUGCCUAACACAUGCAAGUCGAACGAUGAAACUUAACUGAUUUCUUCGGAAUGAUUUUAAGUGGAUUAGUGGCGGACGGGUGAGUAACGCGUGAGUAACCUGCCUUGGAGAAGGGGAUAGCCUUUGGAAACGAAGAAUAAUACCCUAUGAUAUGAUAAUAUCUCAUGAUAUUAUCAUCAAAGAUUUAUCGCUCUAAGAUGGACUUGCGUCUGAUUAGUUAGUUGGUGAGGUAACAGCUCACCAAGGCAGCGAUCAGUAGCCGGCUUGAGAGAGUGUACGGCCACAUUGGGACUGAGACACGGCCCAGACUCCUACGGGAGGCAGCAGUGGGGAAUUUUGCACAAUGGGGGAAACCCUGAUGCAGCGACGCCUCGUGAUUUAGAAGGCCUUCGGGUUGUAAAAAUCUUUUGUAUGGGAAGAAAAUGACAGUACCAUACGAAUAAGGACCGGCUAAUUACGUG
rnacentral:rRNA from 1 species